AUCCCGGGGCUCAACCCCGGCUCGCUUUGGAUACUAGCAAACUAGAGUUAGAUAGAGGUAAGCGGAAUUCCAUGUGAAGCGGUGAAAUGCGUAGAUAUAUGGAAGAACACCAAAGGCGAAGGCAGCUUACUGGGUCUAUACUGACGCUGAGGGACGAAAGCGUGGGGAGCAAACAGGAUUAGAUACCCUGGUAGUCCACGCCGUAAACGAUGAUCAUUAGUCGGUGGAGAAUCACUGACGCAGCU
rnacentral:rRNA from 1 species